AACCAAGUAAAAUUGCUCCUCGGAGCUUCUCUGUAAGGAAGUGGUGACACGAUGGUGGCGCUGCUCUGUGAUUGAUUCGUUCGUCUGUACAAAUGAUUUCUUCUACUAGUUGUUGAGAGUUCUGUGAACUCUAGCUUUGUUUUCGACUGUUGUGUUACUGUAUUGGUUGAUUUGUCGUCAUCGUCAAUAAAUGAAGCACUAAGUUUCUUGCGUC